CUCUCUCUCUCCCUCUCCCCUCACUGCUCCUCUCCUCCCUUCCUGCCUUCUCUCUCUCUCCUUCAGCAUCCCCCCCACCCUCUUUCUUCCUCUUCCCUUCCCGCUCUCUCCUCCCUCUCUCCCCCUCCCGCUCUCUCCUCCCUCUCCCUCCAAGUCUGGCACUGAAGGAACUGUUUUGCUUUGCUCCGGGAAGAGUGCAGACACAUAUCGUGAAAUCCCGAGCUUUUUGCGUGGUGCAUUUAAAAUGCUUCCUUAUUUAUAUUACCCUCAUUCCCUCACCUCUCCCACCCCCUCAGCAGUCCUUCCAAAUUUCCCUAGAAAUCUGUGUAAAGCAUGCGGAGGGGAAAACAUUUGCACAAAAAGUGAAGGAGCUCGCCAAGGUGGUCAACUUGUCCUGUACCCAGAGGUCGCGGAAGGGGUGGCCAUCCCCAGAGGUCACAGAAGCUGAAGAGCCUGGACCAAUGAGCUCAGCAGUCCCAGGAUUGAAUAUCUGAAUUUAAAGUCAAGUUAAAGCUCAAUGUUUGGAACUGUGUUUAAUUGAAGAUGAGACAGAAGACAUCAGAACUGUUUGAAAUUUUCAAGUUUUACUAUACAAUAAAAUGAAGGAUUCAGCUCUUGUCUCAAAGGAUUAACCAAGAUGGUAUUCUUAAAAAUUCCUGGCUUCUAUGAAAUUCUCCAAUUACAGAAUUUUCUUUCAUUACUCUUGAAUUCAUCAUGAAAACCUGCUUUGAAACACAAUUUGCUGAAAUACUGAAAAUGAAUUUCAAAUUAAAUAGGAAUAGUUGUAUACUAAUAUGAUGCAAUGACAUUUCACAUUUUUCCAUGUUAAAAACUGUUCUGAACUCUAAAUCUUUUAAAUAAAUGAUACUGAAA
rnacentral:lncRNA from 1 species